rnacentral:rRNA from 1 species
AUUGAACGCUGGCGGCAUGCCUUACACAUGCAAGUCGAACGGUAACGGGCCUUCGGGUGCCGACGAGUGGCGAACGGGUGAGGAAUACAUCGGAACGUGCCCGAUCGUUGGGGAUAACGAGGCGAAAGCUUUGCUAAUACCGCAUACGAUCUACGUAUGCACGCAGGGGACCGCAAGGCCUUGCGUGGACGGAUCGGCCGAUGGAAGAUUAGGUAGGCGGUGGGAUAAAAGCUGACCAAGGCGACGAUCUGUAACUGGUCUGAAGGGAUGAUGAGCCACACUGUGAGUGAGACUGGGCCGAGACUCCGAGGGGAGGCCGCAGUGGGGAAUUUUAGACGAUGGAGGAGAGGCUGAUCCAGCCAUGCCGCGGGCAGGAUGAAGGCCUUCGGGUGGUAAACUGAUUAUGUACGGAGCGAAAUGCAUUCUUUUAAUACAGGAGGGUCAUGACGGUACCGUAAGAAUAAGCACCGGCUAACUACGUG